UUUUCUUUUUCUUGGUUGUUAUUCCUGUGAUGUUAAUUGCUGAUAAAAACACGCGACAACAAUCGUUGACGUUCUUGACUCGUAUUGCGGGAAUAUUUGCGUCUCUCCUAAUUAAAGUUCUUUUCUUAUGUGCCGUACGAAGAAAGUAUCUAGGUGGUUUUUACAGAAAGUAUCCUGCAAUAACUAAUGCAAUCGGUCUAUUUAUCGAGUGCUGGAACAUCUAUUUGGCAGCAGCUCACAUCAUUCAACGCGUUGUGCGCCUUAUUCUUGCUUCGAUAUUU
rnacentral:ribozyme from 13 species